rnacentral:rRNA from 1 species
AACGAACGCUGGCGGCAGGCUUAACACAUGCAAGUCGAACGGGCGCAGCGAUGCGUCAGUGGCAGACGGGUGAGUAACGCGUGGGAACGUACCUUUCGGUUCGGAAUAACUCAGGGAAACUUGAGCUAAUACCGGAUACGCCCUUUGGGGGAAAGAUUUAUUGCCGAAAGAUCGGCCCGCGUCCGAUUAGCUAGUUGGUGAGGUAAAGGCUCACCAAGGCGACGAUCGGUAGCUGGUCUGAGAGGAUGAUCAGCCACAUUGGGACUGAGACACGGCCCAAACUCCUACGGGAGGCAGCGGUGGGGAAUAGUGGACAAUGGGCGCAAGCCUGGUCCAGCCAUGCCGCGUGAGUGAUGAAGGCCUUAGGGUUGUAAAGCUCUUUCACCGAUGAAGAUAAUGACGGUAGUCGGAGAAGAAGCCCCGGCUAACUUCGUGCCAGCCGCCGCGGUAAGAC